rnacentral:snRNA from 1 species
GUACUCACUUUUGGCAGCACAUAUACUAAAACUGGAAGCAUACAGAGAAAAUUAGCAUGGCCUCUGUACAAAAAUGAUAAGCAAAUUUGUGAAAAAAGUAAAUCUUUA